rnacentral:rRNA from 1 species
CAGCCGCCACGGUAAUACGAAGGGGGCUAGCGUUGUUCGGAUUUACUGGGCGUAAAGCGCACGUAGGCGGAUCGAUCAGUCAGGGGUGAAAUCCCAGAGCUCAACUCUGGAACUGCCUUUGAUACUGUCGAUCUGGAGUAUGGAAGAGGUGAGUGGAAUUCCGAGUGUAGGGGUGAAAUUCGUAGAUAUUCGAAGGAACACCAGUGGCGAAGGCGGCUCACUGGUCCAUUACUGACGCUGAGGUGCGAAAGCGUGGGGAGCAAACAGGAUUAGAUACCCCCGUAGUCCCUGUCUCUUAUAC